UUCUUUGACUUCAUAUACUUUAUGUAUUAACUUUCCUUAUAUAUAUAUGGUGCCGUCUAUGGUGGCUCUUAAUGUUUGGUGGCUAAGCUGGCUACAUAUGACCCUCCUAUCAUACAUUGACACGUGGAAGGAAAUUACCCAGUUGAUCCCGUUAAUGAAUUUCCAAGAACUUUAACAUGGUGCGGUAAUUUUCUUAACAAGGGUUUGAUCCCACUUUAGGGUGGUGGAGAACUUACGACGAAGGCGUGGAAGACCCUCUUUGUUGGUAUUGAGAUGCGUUCCCGUCGAAUUUUGGUCGGGUCAUUGAGGUUAGACUUGGCAACUGAGUCGAGGAGCAGGUUCCCAGAUUUGCCGCCACUUUCACUACCUUGGAGGUCCAGGAAGAAGAAAACAUCAUCCGCUACCUCGACGUUGGAAGGAUGGUGGUCUCUAGCGACUUGACUCCAUAAAAAGGGAGAAUAAGAAGAAGAUAUCACCCCUGCUCCCUUUAUUUGAUUCUAUGAUUCUCUGAUUUCUUGCUUUAGUUAGAGAAGGGGAUUUUUUUUUUGGGGCUUCAUUCCAGCCAAGAGUAAAAAAAGAAAGAGAACAACUUAUUUUUAUUUAAAGAAAUGGACAUUAAAAAUUACACUUAUACUUUUUAUUUUCUUAAAUUUCACUUUUGUCUAUACAGUAAAAUUUUAAAUUACCAACACAGAAUUAAUGAUAAGCAGCAUUUCAUGUAUACAGUAAAAGUUAAUUAUAAUUUGACAUAAGACAAGUGUCACUUCUUCAUUUAGUGGUCAACCCUUAGUCACCUAUAGCCACCAUUUUCAAAGCCACCAGAGA